CUCGCUUCUUGGCCCUUAGACUAAGAUCAAGUGUAGUAUCUAUUCUUAAUCAGCUUAAUAUCUGAUAUGUCAGCCAUCCGAGGACAGUAUAUUAAUGGAUGGACCUAGA
rfam:Myotis brandtii contig319730, whole genome shotgun sequence.